GAAGUAAAAGUCGUAACAAGGUUUCCGUAGGUGAACCUGCGGAAGGAUCAUUAUUGAAUGAACUUAGGUUGGAUUGUUGCUGGCUCUUAGGAGCAUGUGCACAUCUGACUUCAAAUUCUUUUACCACCUGUGCACCUUUUGUAGACUUGGAAUAUCUCUCGAGCAAAAACCAAGCUCGGCUUUAAAAGACAUGCAUAGCUUGUCUUAUCUUUCCUAGUCUAUGUCUUUUCAUAUACUCUAAUAGUAUGUUAUUGAAUAUUGAAAAGGGCAUUAUUUGCCUUUAAUCUAUAUACAACUUUCAACAACGGAUCUCUUGGCUCUCGCAUCGAUGAAGAACGCAGCGAAAUGCGAUAAGUAAUGUGAAUUGCAGAAUUCAGUGAAUCAUCGAAUCUUUGAACGCACCUUGCGCUCCUUGGUAUUCCGAGGAGCAUGCCUGUUUGAGUGUCAUGAAAUUCUCAAUCUUUUCAGCUUUUUUUACUGAAAAAGAAUUGGAUUGUGGAAGUUUGCAGGCUUUCAAAGUCAGCUCUUCUUAAAUACAUUAGCAGAAUUCUCUAUAGACUGAGCUAUUGGUGUGAUAAUAUCUCUGCCAUUGCCAUGAAAUAGAGUCAGCUUCUAAUAGUCUGCUUGUUCAGACAAUUUUCUUGACUAUUUGACCUCAAAUCAGGUAGGACUACCCGCUGAACUUAAGCAUAU
rnacentral:rRNA from 1 species